UAUAAAUAGGGGGUCCAUUAGUUUAGC
rnacentral:piRNA from 2 species